GACAAGAAAAAGUUCAAAUGAACAAAGAAAUUGAAUGUAAAAACGGGUACUCAACUUCAACUCCUCCAUUCAAACAACAAAAUCCUUUAACCAAAUAUUGCUUUAAGAUGUAUAAUUGGAAGAGAUUCACAAAUAAACAUUGAUUCACCAUCACCUAAUCUAUGUCUCUUGAAAAAAAAAUUAUUUUUCUGUGUAAAUUGAAAAAACAAAUCUAGAUUAAAAUCCCACUACUAUCAAAAGAAGGAAGAAGAACCCCAUCUUGCAUGCUCAGUACACAUCAAGAAUAGAUUCCUGUUAUGCCUUCUGCAAUAACUCACCAUUUUCGGUCCCCUUCUUGUUAUUCCCAAUAUCUCUCAUCGAGACCCAGUUAUUUCCUGUUAAGAACGAAAGACCAUCAGCCAUUUUACCCGUCGCUACAAAUUGAUUUAUGUGU
rnacentral:lncRNA from 1 species